rnacentral:rRNA from 1 species
GAUGAACGCUGGCGGCGUGCCUAAUACAUGCAAGUCGAGCGAACAGACGCGGCGCUUGCUCCUUUGACGUUAGCGGCGGACGGGUGAGUCACACGUGGAUCACCUACCUAUCAGACUGGGAUCACCUCGGGACACCGGAGCUAAUACCGGAUAAUCUCUUGAUCCGCAUGGUUCAAUGGUGAAAGACAGCUUUGCUGUCACUUAUAGCUGGAUCCGCGCCGCAUUAGCUAGUUGGUAAGGUAACGGGUUACCAAGGGAACGAUGCGUUGCCGACUUGCUUGGGGGAUCGGCCACACUGGAGCGGGAACGCGGUCAAGACUCCUACGGGAGGGACCAGAAGGGAAUCGUCCGCAGUAGGCGAGAGCCUGACGGAGCAACGCCGCGUGAGUUGUAAAAGUCCUCGGAGCGUAAAGCUCGGUUAUGAGGUAAGAACAAAUGUGGAAGGAGCUAAACACGUCGUGACGGUACCGAGUCAAAAAGCCACGGCUAACUACGUG